CCUACGGGUGGCAGCAGUGAGGAAUAUUGGUCAAUGGGCGCGAGCCUGAACCAGCCAAGUAGCGUGAAGGAUGACUGCCCUACGGGUUGUAAACUUCUUUUAUAAAGGAAUAAAGUGAGGCACGUGUGCCUUUUCGUAUGUAUUUUAUGAAUAAGGAUCGGCUAACUCCGUGCCAGCCGCCGCGGUAAUACGGAGGAUCCGAGCGUUAUCCGGAUUUAUUGGGUUUAAAGGGAGCGGAGAUGGGUUGUUAAGUCAGGUGUGAAAGUUUGCGGCUCAACCGUAAAAUUGCAAUUGAUACUGGCAGCCUUGAGUACAGGUGAGGUAGGCGGAAUUCGUGGUGUAGCGGUGAAAUGCUUAGAUAUCACGAAGAACUCCGAUUGCGAAGGCAGCCUACUAGACUGCCACUGACAUUGAUGCUCGAAAGUGUGGGUAUCAAACAGGAUUAGAUACCCCAGUAGUC
rnacentral:rRNA from 1 species